rnacentral:rRNA from 1 species
CCAAGGGUUCCUGUCCAACGUUAAUCGGGGCAGGGUGAGUCGACCCCUAAGGCGAGGCCGAAAGGCGUAGUCGAUGGGAAACAGGUUAAUAUUCCUGUACUUGGUGUUACUGCGAAGGGGGGACGGAGAAGGCUAUGUUGGCCGGGCGACGGUUGUCCCGGUUUAAGCGUGUAGGCUGGUUUUCCAGGCAAAUCCGGAAAAUCAAGGCUGAGGCGUGAUGACGAGGCACUACGGUGCUGAAGCAACAAAUGCCCUGCUUCCAGGAAAAGCCUCUAAGCAUCAGGUAACAUCAAAUCGUACCCCAAACCGACACAGGUGGUCAGGUAGAGAAUACCAAGGCGCUUGAGAGAACUCGGGUGAAGGAACUAGGCAAAAUGGUGCCGUAACUUCGGGAGAAGGCACGCUGAUAUGUAGGUGAAGUCCCUCGCGGAUGGAGCUGAAAUCAGUCGAAGAUACCAGCUGGCUGCAACUGUUUAUUAAAAACACAGCACUGUGCAAACACGAAAGUGGACGUAUACGGUGUGACGCCUGCCCGGUGCCGGAAGGUUAAUUGAUGGGGUCAGCGCAAGCGAAGCUCUUGAUCGAAGCCCCGGUAAACGGCGGCCGUAACUAUAACGGUCCUAAGGUAGCGAAAUUCCUUGUCGGGUAAGUUCCGACCUGCACGAAUGGCGUAAUGAUGGCCAGGCUGUCUCCACCCGAGACUCAGUGAAAUUGAACUCGCUGUGAAGAUGCAGUGUACCCGCGGCAAGACGGAAAGACCCCGUGAACCUUUACUAUAGCUUGACACUGAACAUUGAGCCUUGAUGUGUAGGAUAGGUGGGAGGCUUUGAAGUGUGGACGCCAGUCUGCAUGGAGCCGACCUUGAAAUACCACCCUUUAAUGUUUGAUGUUCUAACGUGGACCCGUGAUCCGGGUUGCGGACAGUGUCUGGUGGGUAGUUUGACUGGGGCGGUCUCCUCCUAAAGAGUAACGGAGGAGCACGAAGGUUGGCUAAUCCUGGUCGGACAUCAGGAGGUUAGUGCAAUGGCAUAAGCCAGCUUGACUGCGAGCGUGACGGCGCGAGCAGGUGCGAAAGCAGGUCAUAGUGAUCCGGUGGUUCUGAAUGGAAGGGCCAUCGCUCAACGGAUAAAAGGUACUCCGGGGAUAACAGGCUGAUACCGCCCAAGAGUUCAUAUCGACGGCGGUGUUUGGCACCUCGAUGUCGGCUCAUCACAUCCUGGGGCUGAAGUAGGUCCCAAGGGUAUGGCUGUUCGCCAUUUAAAGUGGUACGCGAGCUGGGUUUAGAACGUCGUGAGACAGUUCGGUCCCUAUCUGCCGUGGGCGCUGGAGAACUGAGGGGGGCUGCUCCUAGUACGAGAGGACCGGAGUGGACGCAUCACUGGUGUUCGGGUUGUCAUGCCAAUGGCACUGCCCGGUAGCUAAAUGCGGAAGAGAUAAGUGCUGAAAGCAUCUAAGCACGAAACUUGCCCCGAGAUGAGUUCUCCCUGACCCUUUAAGGGUCCUGAAGGAACGUUGAAGACGACGACGUUGAUAGGCCGGGUGUGUAAGCGCAGCGAUGCGUUGAGCUAACCGGUACUAAUGAACCGUGAGGCUUAACCUUACAACGCCGAAGGUGUUU